CUAAAACCCUAAUCGUAUCCCUCGUUCUUGGUUUUUCCGGGUAGUCCUCUCCUCCUCUCCUUCGUUUUUUCGGCCUCCAAGUCUUCGUCCAUGGCGUUCUCCCUCAUUGUAUCAAGCCCUAAACCCUUCUCCCCUUCCAGUAACCCUAACCCCAAUAUAUCCCGCUCCCAUAUCCUCUCCAAUUCAUGGCUCUCCCCUCCCUCCUCUCGCUCCAGCGUAAUCCCUCAUCUUUCUGGCUCCUCCUUCGUUCUUCUCUCCAAGCCAUGGACUCGUUCCGGAGCCACCCGAUGCUCUCUUCGAUCCCGCCCUGAGUACAUCCCCAACGACAUCCCCGACCCUCGCUACGUCCGGGUGUUCGACACCACCCUCCGCGACGGGGAGCAGUCCCCCGGCGCCACUAUGACCAGCAAAGAGAAGCUCGUCGUCGCCCGCCAACUCUCCCGCCUCGGCGUCGACAUCAUCGAGGCCGGCUUCCCCGCGUCCUCCCCUGACGACCUCGAUGCGGUGCGGUCCAUCGCCAUGGAGGUCGGGAAGCAACCGGUGUCGGAGGACGGCCACAUUCCGGUGAUCUGCGGCCUGGCGAGGUGCAACAAGAAGGAUAUCGAUGCAGCAUGGGAGGCGGUGAGGCACGCCAAGAAGCCGAGGGUGCACACGUUUAUCGCCACCAGCGAGAUUCACAUGCAGCACAAGUUGAGGAAGACGAGGGAGGAGGUGGUGAGGAUCGCUCGCGAGAUGGUAGCGUAUGCCAGGAGUCUCGGGUGCCAGGAUAUCGAAUUUAGCCCCGAGGAUGCUGGCAGGUCUGAUAGAGACUUUCUUUAUCAUGUUCUGGAGGAAGUUAUAAAAGCUGGGGCAACUACUGUGAACAUCCCUGACACUGUUGGCUACACUCUUCCUUCAGAAUUUGAAAAAUUAAUUGCAGACAUAAAGGCAAACACUCAUGGGAUUGAGAAUGUAAUAAUAUCAACACACUGCCAGAAUGACCUUGGACUUGCAACCGCAAACACAUUAGCUGGCGCUUAUGCAGGGGCAAGGCAACUGGAGGUCACUGUCAAUGGUAUCGGUGAAAGAGCUGGAAAUGCUUCUUUAGAGGAGGUUGUAAUUGCCAUGAAGUGUCGUCAGGAACUCAUGGGAGGGCUAUAUACUGGAAUCAACACUAAACAUAUUGUUAUGGCGAGCAAGAUGGUAGCAGAGUAUACCGGACUGCAUGUACAGCCGCAUAAAGCUAUUGUUGGAGCCAAUGCUUUUGCUCAUGAAAGUGGUAUUCACCAGGAUGGAAUGCUUAAACACAAGAACACCUAUGAGAUUAUUUCGCCUGAGGACAUUGGAUUGUCCCGUUCCAAUGAAUCUGGUAUUGUGCUCGGGAAACUUAGUGGACGCCAUGCUCUGAGAUCUAAACUAUUGGAGUUCGGUUAUGAUAUAAAUGGGAACGAACUCGAAGAUGUCUUCAAGCGUUUCAAAGAGGUUGCAGAGAAAAAAAAGCGUGUAUCAGAUGAGGACAUAGAAGCACUGAUAACUGAUGAGAUAUUUCAGCCUGCAGUCAUUUGGUCUCUUGGAGAGCUACAGGCUACCUGUGGAACACUUGGCCUGUCUACGGCAACUGUAAAACUAAUAGCGUCAGAUGGAGAAGAGAAGAUUGCCUGCUCAGUUGGAACAGGUCCAGUGGAUGCUGCAUAUAAAGCUAUUGAUAGCAUAGUCCAGGUACCAGCAGUUCUUCGAGAGUAUGCCAUGAAUUCAGUCACUGAAGGCAUUGAUGCAAUUGCCACCACAAGAGUGGUCAUAGGAGGAGAUAACAACUCUAUGGCUAUGCAUGCCUUAACUGGAGAAUCUGUCCGCCGUACUUUCAGUGGAAGUGGUGCAGCAAUGGAUAUUGUUGUUUCGAGCGUCCGGGCCUAUGUAAGUGCACUCAACAAGAUGUUGGGCUUCAUGUCUGCUGUGAAGGCUACCACGGAAAGCCCUCAAGGCAAAACAUCCCGAAGUUCUGAAUAAACUGUGUUGCCUUUGGAGACCAUAAUGUCUGUUCUUUUCUGCACAAAGAAGGGAUUUAAGGCCGAAGAAUAUUCACUAUUUUACAUGAAUUGAGUGUCAGAGCAUCCAAUCAGACAUACUUCAAAGGUGAAAGGGUUCCGGAAUUAUUGGCGAAAGGGCUAUGAUCAGGAAUGGCACAUCAGAAAUCACUGCUUCCUGGGAAUAGACGAGAGUAGGUGGGUUGCAGAAGAAACCAUACCAUACUGAGCUUCAACUGUCAACUGUUAGCUAUUUGGUCUUUGCUCUAUCAAGGGGGUUCUGGUCUCUUAAUCCGUGAGCACUACGUUAAAUUCAGAGGGUUAGAUGUAUUGGAUUGUAUACCUGAAAUUAGGGGACUUGGCUUUUGAUGGUGAUGCAAGAAGUAGGUCUAGAAGUCCCUUGUAAUUCUCUAACAUCAAUAUUUUCACCAUUCUAAUCUGUGCAACUUUGAAGAGAGUGAGGAAUAUGUACUGCAUCUUAUAGAUUGACAAUAUAUCUAUCAGUUUAGUUUAAAUAUUAUAGUGGAAAAAUGACCUGUGAUUGUUGUAGAACGAAUAAUAGGAAUGAGAGGACAAUGAUCUCAAUUUGAUGAUGCCCA